ensembl:lncRNA
UACACAGUAAAAUCUCCAGUGUUGAAAUCCCAGUGUUAAGGACUUUUAGAGUAAAGAGUUAAAGUUGUGGUGUUGAAUUUCAAACGAUUAACACUAGCUAGUGUAAACGGCACCCUCUUGCGGUGUUAACACGGAAAGUAACCCAUAUUAACACUGUUGAGUGUUAUUAAUAACAUCCGGGACAUUUUCUCGUGUGCGCGCAUAACCCAUCUGAAAUAUUUUUCAAAGACGCCAUUUUCUUUGCUCGAGAUGCGAAGUGCAUAUGGAAUUAAAACAGCGAAAUAAAGUGUUUAGUCUUACUUACAAAAUAUGUUUUGUAAUAUCAUAUCGUUUUAUAACGAUAUUUAUGUGCUGUAUGCGCCUAAACGUUUCUCAGAGACAUUUCCUUUCACUCGCGACGCGGAACAGACGAGGGAUUUUUUUCAAAACGGGAAAAUCCGAAAAUGGUUCAUGCUGGCUUAACAGAAAAAUCAAAAGGAGAUGAUGUGCUUGAAGAGUAUGAAGCCACCAAUAUAUGAGAGUUGUCCAACCUCAACGCAGAGAGAUCAGUAUGCACUUGGAAUUGUGACUGUCUCUGUCGUUAGAAGACCCAUUUUCUAGGGAAGGUGUGUGAUGCUGCAAAUAGGAGUGGAUAUCUUGCUUGGCUGAAAACUGCUGAGAAACGCAUCUUGUCGUGCUGAAAAAAAAGAAGUCUAGAAGAAAGAAAAAGACUAUUCUCUCCAAGGAGGUCCAAACACCAUCACAGACAUUGAUUAGUGAGCCUUAACAUGUAUUCUGCAUUUAUGGUAAUGAAUGGAAUGCUGUUGUUUAACCUGAUAAAUGUCAGCAUUAUAAAUCUUAUGACAUUAAGAGUACAUAUGGACCAAAUAAGAAUGUUUUUUGUGUCUUUGCACUGAUUUGCUUUGACAUUAUGAUGUUUAAUUGUUGUAAGGCCAUGCUCUUUACAUUGAAUUUUAGAAUUUUAGAUUUAGAAUUUAUUUAUUUGUUUUUAUUUUGAAUUGCUUUGAAUUGAAACAUUGAAAGUGAAGACAUUUUG